rnacentral:rRNA from 1 species
UACGUAGGGUGCGAGCGUUGUCCGGAAUUAUUGGGCGUAAAGAGCUCGUAGGCGGUUUGUUGCGUCGGCCGUGAAAACCUGCAGCUUAACUGUGGGCCUGCGGCCGAUACGGGCAGACUUGAGUUCGGUAGGGGAGACUGGAAUUCCUGGUGUAGCGGUGAAAUGCGCAGAUAUCAGGAGGAACACCCGUAGCGAAGGCGGCACUCUGGGCCGAUACUGACACUGAGGAGCGAAAGCGUGGGGAGCGAACAGG